UGAGCAAUCUGCCCUUCUCAUCGGAAUAAGCGUUGGAAACGACGUCUAAUGCCGAAUACGACCUCCUUUCGCAUGAUCGGAGGUGGAAAGCUCCGGCGGAGAAGGAUGAGCUCGCGGCCUAUCAGCUAGUUGGUGUGGGUAAUGGCCCACCAAGGCGACGACGGGUAGCCGGCCUGAGAGGGUGACCGGCCGCACUGGGACUGAGACACGGCCCAGACUCCGUACGGGAGCAG
rnacentral:rRNA from 1 species